UGGCGAACGGGUGAGUAAUACAUCGGAACGUGUCCGCUCGUGGGGGACAACCAGCCGAAAGGUUGGCUAAUACCGCAGUGAGUUCUACGGAAGAAANAGGGGGACCCGCAAGGGCCUCUCGCGAGCGGAGCGGCCGAUGACUGAUUAGCCGGUUGGUGAGGUAACGGCUCACCAAAGCAACGAUCAGUAGCUGGUCUGAGAGGACGACCAGCCACACUGGGACUGAGACACGGCCCAGACUCCUACGGAAGGCAGCAG
rnacentral:rRNA from 1 species